CAUGACUGUAGCAAUACAGUUGAUGGCGACCGGCAAACGGGUGCGGAACACGUACACAACCUUCCUUUUAGUGGAGAAUAGCCCAGGGAAACUUGGAUUAAUACUCCGUAACAUAUAGAAGUGGCAUCACUUUUAUAUUAUAGCAGCAAUGCGCUAGAAGAUGGGUGUGCGGCUGAUUAGAUAGUUGGCGGGGUAACGGCCCACCAAGUCGACGAUCAGUAACUGGUGUGAGAGCACGACCAGUCACACGGGCACUGAGACACGGGCCCGACUCUUACGGGAGGCAGCAGUAAGGAAUAUUGGUCAAUGGACGCAAGUCUGAACCAGCCAUGCCGCGUGGAGGAUGAAGGUCCUCUGGAUUGUAAACUUCUUUUAUCUGGGAAGAAAUCCACUUUUUCUAAGGUGGUUGACGGUACCAGAUGAAUAAGCACCGGCUAACUCCGUGCCAGCAGCCGCGGUAAUACGGAGGGUGCAAGCGUUAUCCGGAUUCACUGGGUUUAAAGGGUGCGUAGGUGGGCAAGUAAGUCAGUGGUGAAAUCUCCGGGCUUAACCCGGAAACUGCCAUUGAUACUAUUUGUCUUGAAUACUGUGGAGGUCAGCGGAAUAUGUCAUGUAGCGGUGAAAUGCUUAGAUAUGACAUAGAACACCAAUUGCGAAGGCAGCUGGCUACACAAAUAUUGACACUGAGGCACGAAAGCGUGGGGAUCAAACAGGAUUAGAUACCCUGGUAGUCCACGCCCUAAACUAUGGAUACUCGACAUACGCGAUAAACUGUGUGUGUCUGAGCGAAAGCAUUAAGUAUCCCACCUGGGAAGUACGAUCGCAAGAUUGAAACUC
rnacentral:rRNA from 1 species